rnacentral:rRNA from 1 species
CAAGGUUGAUAGGUCAGAGGUGUAAGUAUGGCAACAUAUUUAGCUGACUGAUACUAAUAGGUCGAGGGCUUGACCAA